rnacentral:lncRNA from 9 species
CAUCCCGGCCAGGAGGGGGCGCCUGUCCUUCUCCAAAUGCUGCGUUCCGAUCAUCUUGCUCAGCCCUCGGUGGCCAGCAGGUGGCGACCAAACCUGCCCUUGCGGCCUCUUGCCAAGCGCAGGCAGGCGCAGCAGCCCUGCGUUCUUCCCUGCGACCGAAGGCUGUGUUUUUCUCCGGACGGACUGAGGACGUGCCUGUGGGGCUUUGGGACACGGGCCUGGUGGGGCCCCUUGUUCAGAAGAGAGAGGAGAAGAGCGUCCCUGCAUGCCUGCCUUGCCAUGUGUUCUCCCAAGGAUAGCAGUCUUCCCAGAACCUUCCAGUCCAGUCCCCACCCAGCAGCUUCUGGUGUGCAGUCCACCAGGUGGGUGGCGGGGGUGAGUCUUUGUUCCUGGCCCAGCACCAUCCUCUGGGGUCUCCCCGCCGUGUGGCCCAGAACUCAGCUCCCCGCACCCUCACAGGGCCCCGUCCCCAUCUUCUCACCUUCAGGCUGGGCCUCAGGGGGGGCCAGGCCAUCCAGGGCUCUCAGGCCCAGAUGGUGUCUGUCCUCGGUCCCAGAGCUGGAUGUUCUGAGCUCCCUAUGAGCCCGGGAGAGGCCCCUGGGGGGCGGCCUGGGGGGCGUUUCAACUGGAG